rnacentral:rRNA from 1 species
CCUACGGGAGGCAGCAGUGGGGAAUAUUGCGCAAUGGUCUAAAUCCUUACUCAUCUACUCCUCUUUCUUUAUUCAUUUCUUCUUCUCUUCCCCCUCUUUCCGCCGUUAAGAACGGUCCCUGUGCUCCUCAGCAGUGAAUUGACGGUACCUGCAAAGGAAGCACCGGCUAACUCCGUUCCCGCCGCCGCGGUCCUCCGGCGGGUGCGAGCGUUCCUCGGACUUACUGGGCGUAAAGCGCUCGUAGUCGGUAGGUCAAGUCAAGGGUCAAAUCCCCGCGCUCACCGUGGGCACUGCCUUUGAAACUGGCAAACUGGAGUGUGUGAGAGGAUAGUGGAAUUCCAGGUGUAGGAGUGAAAUCCGUAGAUAUCUGGAGGAACAUCAGUGGCGAAGGCGACUAUCUGGCACAUAACUGACGCUGAGGAGCGAAAGCGUGGGUAGCAAACAGGAUUAGAGACCCCGGUAGUC